UACAGAGGGUGCGAGCGUUGUUCGGAAUUAUUGGGCGUAAGGGCGCGUAGGCGGUGCGGUAAGUCACCUGUGAAAUCUCCUGGCUCAACUGGGAGCUUGCAGGCGAAACUGCCGUGCUGGAGUGUGGGAGAGGUGCGUGGAAUUCCUGGUGUAGCGGUGAAAUGCGUAGAUAUCGGGAGGAACACCUGUGGCGAAAGCGGCUCACUGGACCGCAACUGACGCUGAGGCGCGAAG
rnacentral:rRNA from 1 species